CCUACGUGAGGCAGCAGUGAGGAAUAUUGGUCAAUGGACGAGAGUCUGAACCAGCCAAGUAGCGUGAAGGAUGACUGCCCUAUGGGUUGUAAACUUCUUUUAUAUGGGAAUAAAAUGUUCCACGUGUGGGAUUUUGUAUGUACCAUAUGAAUAAGGAUCGGCUAACUCCGUGCCAGCAGCCGCGGUAAUACGGAGGAUCCGAGCGUUAUCCGGAUUUAUUGGGUUUAAAGGGAGCGUAGGUGGAUUGUUAAGUCAGUUGUGAAAGUUUGCGGCUCAACCGUAAAAUUGCAGUUGAAACUGAUGAUCUUGAGUGGGCGAGAAGUAUGCGGAAUGCGUGGUGUAGCGGUGAAAUGCAUAGAUAUCACGCAGAACUCCGAUUGCGAAGGCAGCAUACCGGCGCCCGACUGACGCUGAAGCACGAAAGCGUGGGUAUCGAACAGGAUUAGAUACCCGGGUAGUC
rnacentral:rRNA from 1 species